rnacentral:rRNA from 1 species
GACGAACGCUGGCGGCGUGCUUAACACAUGCAAGUCGAGCGGAGCGGCGAACGGGUGAGUAACGCGGGAGUAACUGCACCCCUCUCUGGGAUAACAGUUGGAAACGGCUGCUAAUACCGGAUAGGUGGGGAUGGCGUGCGGCCUAUCAGCUUGUUGGUGGGGUAGUGGCCUACCACGGGGACGACGGGUAGCCGGCCUGAGAGGGGGACCGGCCACAUUGGGCUGAGAGACGGCCCAAAGUCCUACGGGGGGCAGCAGUGGGAAAUAUUGCGCAAUGGGGGAAAGCCUGAUGCAGAAACGCCGCGGGCGGGAUGACGGCCUUCGUGUGGUAAACCGCUUUCAGCCAUGACGCGGUAGUGGCAGAAGAAGCACCGGCUAACUACGUGCCAGCCGCCGCGGUAAUAC